UACGUAGGCAGCAAGCGUUGUUCGGAGUUACUGGGCGUAAAGGGUGUGUAGGCGGUUCCUUAAGUUUGCUGUGAAAUCUCCCGGCUUAACCGGGAGGGUGCGGUGAAUACUGAGGGACUAGAGUACGGGAGAGGAAAGUGGAAUUCCUGGUGUAGCGGUGAAAUGCGUAGAUAUCAGGAGGAACACCGGUGGUGUAGACGGCUUUCUGGACCGUAACUGACGCUGAGGUGCGAAAGCGUGGGGAGCAAACAGG
rnacentral:rRNA from 1 species